CCUACGGGGUGCACCAGUGGGGAAUAUUGGACAAUGGGGGAAACCCUGAUGCAGCCAUGCCGCGUGUGUGAAGAAGGCCUUCGGGUUGUAAAGCACUUUCAGUAGGGAGGAAGGUAGUGUAGUUAACACCUGCAUUAUUUGACGUUACCUACAGAAGAAGCACCGGCUAACUCCGUGCCAGCAGCCGCGGUAAUACGGAGGGUGCGAGCGUUAAUCGGAAUUACUGGGCGUAAAACGCAUGCAGGCGGCCUGUUAAGUCAGAUGUGAAAGCCCGGGGCUUAACCUCGGAAUUGCAUUUGAAACUGGCAGGCUAGAGUCUUGUAGAGGGGGGUAGAAUUCCAGGUGUAGCGGUGAAAUGCGUAGAGAUCUGGAGGAAUACCGGUGGCGAAGGCGGCCCCCUGGACGAAGACUGACGCUCAGGUGCGAAAGCGUGGGGAGCAAACAGGAUUAGAUACCCGAGUAGUC
rnacentral:rRNA from 1 species